rnacentral:misc_RNA from 1 species
CUUACACCUUGGAAAUCAACGCGGCACUAUCUGCUCAGGGCUUUGGGCACAGACUGAGCGAGGAAUAAAGCUCUCUUCGUCUUCAGCGAUCAACUAUGGCAGAUGACGACUUCAAUGAUAUGGAUAUGGGGUUAGUUUCGUUUCUCUCUCCCUCUCUCUCUUUUGCACACGUCGACAUGCACGCUCGAUAUCACAAGCGAGCUUAGGGUUUUCUUUUUCUUUUAAAUUUUUUAGAGAAGCUAAUAUAUUUUGCUACAUUCUCUGAUUAGGUUUCCGAGAAAAUUAAUUUAAUCGAUGAAACGAUGGGAAAUUUUAAGUUUUUGUUUCUCAAGAAACUGAUAAGGCUGAGACAUCUAUCAAGUUUAUUUGAUUUUCAAGCGUAUAGUUUAUUUCGCAAUCAAAAUCAAAAGCUCAAAAUUCGAAAUGUCCUUAAACAUGUCCUAGUUUUCUGAGAUAAAAUGUUAGGUUCUUAAGUAUAACUUCGCCCCUCUUAUGUUAUGUGGAACCAGAGGUCCUGUAGAUUCUGCAAACUACUCAAAUGUUUAUUCCAUAAGAAUACCGUGUGAUAGUAUCAUACUUAUCCUGAAUUCUUUCAUAAAUAAGUACCAGGUAUUUUUAUGCCUUUGUGUAAGUUGGUUUCAGUUUGUGCAUUGUAGAUGUAUUUUCCUUUGUUUAUUUAUUUAUUUUAUUUAUUUUCUUUGUUGCUUGCUGACCUAUCUAAGAUUCCCUAUAUUGUUGCUGCAGAUAUGAAGAUGAGCCGCCAGAGCCUGAGAUUGAAGAAGGAGCAGAGGAUGAUGUUGAUAACAAUAAUAAUGAGGAUGUUCCUGGGGAACCCAUUGAAACUGGUGAUAAAGAAGAACAAGAACCUGUCGAACGGCCUUGUAAAACAUCAAAAUACAUGACAAAAUAUGAGCGUGCCAGAAUUUUGGGAACUCGUGCUCUCCAGAUCAGGUUUUUUUUUUCUGCUUAAAAACCAUAUCAUUUUAAAAUUAUGCUGAUUGAGUUGAAUUAAUGGGAUCAUAAAAACCCAUUGGCUUUGCAGCAUGAAUGCUCCUGUAAUGGUUGAGUUGGAGGGUGAGACUGACCCACUUGAGGUAAGAUUGUUGAAAGCGUUGCUUGUGUACAUGUGAAACAUGCUGUUGACUGAAUAGUAUGCUGGGGAAACUGCUUUUUUAUUAUAAUUAUUCACAUUUUUCAGAUUGUUGAUUUCACAUUACAUAUUUCAUCUCAUCUUCAUUAACUUGUAUUAUUAGUGUCCUACAUUGCACAAUUUCACUGUUUGUGAUAUAGGACAAGUUGAGAAACCAGCCUGCCAAUGCUUUUAUGAUUGGCAAAUUGAAAGCAAUUUAUGAUUUGUCGGGUUGUGAUUUAAUGAAGAAGAGACAAUAGUGGUAGGAUUUUGAAUUGGAGCUGAUCAGAGAGAGAAGACAAGAGAAAUUACUGAUUGUUUUGUAGCUGUGAUCAGAGCCUGGAGUGCUGUAGUAGCAGCAGAGGGAAAGGGGAGAGAGAGAAAGGAGAGAGAGGGGGGGUUAAUUGAAACUUUGAUCUCAGCAUUUCAUUGUGAUGGGGUGUUGGGCAGUUUGUCUGUAGCAAAUGAGCUCUGCUGGCCAUUUAGUUCACCCUGUGUGCCCAAAUACAUUACAAGCUGUUGGAGAGUCAUCUCCAGCUGAAGCAUAGCAUUCUGAAGAGAAGUAAAACACUGGAACUCUAUAUCUCUGUAUUUAUCUUAGUAUCAUCGACAUGGGCCAUGUUUUUCUGGGUUCUUUUCUUAUAUUACAGCAUUUUUGGCACAAGGAUGCAUUAAUCUUCAUCUGUGCACUCAUGAAUGUUGGUUGUGUUUUAUUAUGCACCACCUACUUGUACAGCCUUUUCUUCUGCAACACGCCUGCAAUUAUGAAUUUGACACCUCUCUUUCCUUCACUGAAUUUUAAACCAUAAAAUUUCAUCAUAUCCUUUUUUUUCCCAUUUUAAAUUAUUGAUUGCUGUCUUUUUAUGUCUUUUUUCUUCAUUUGUCAAGAUUGCAAUGAAGGAACUCCGCGAGCGGAAAAUACCUUUCACCAUCCGGCGCUACCUCCCUGAUGGAAGGUGAUGUUCUUUGUUUUAAAUUAUUGUCAUCUUGUAAUCAAUAAAAGUUGCUUGGUAGAAUGUGAGGUAUGCAUGUAGUAAAAUUUUCCCCCUUGCUUUGAUUCGUCUCUUAUUUCUUGUUUUUAACGUCCAGUUAUGAGGACUGGGGAGUGGAUGAACUGAUUGUGGAAGACUCAUGGAAGAGGCAUGAUUGAUCAGCUGGCAUUUUAUCAUUGCAAUUUGUCCUUUACUCAGUGCAAGAUGGCUUCUAAAUGCGUUAUAUGAUGUAUGGCCUUAACUUCAAAACUUGUCCUGUUAAACACCAUCAUUUAAUCAUCCACAAGCUUCCAGUUAUCUGCAACUUUCUGCUAAUCCCCUGGAACAUGAAGUCCAUUACAACUACAAAUGUAUUUUGCCAUGGUGAAUACUGGCUGAACUCAAGAUCAUUAAGACUACAUACUUUGUAUUGUUUGGAUUACUUUUGUGCCUGCGAACUUCGGAUUUCUAUUCAAAUAAAUACCGCGCAAGCUCCCUGAUACUGAUAUGAAUUAUACAAUUGGUUGCGGGGAAAAGUUUUGAUUUUUUGCAGCCAUAUGUAGAGCACUUAGAAAGCAGACAUGUGGAAAACUCGGGCUGGGCUUCUGGGUGGAGAUCUAAUAACCUCAACCUGGCAUCUUAUCGUGGAUUUUAGGAUAUCUCAUGACUUUUGAGAUCAAGCACCGACUACUUGACAGCGUUGCAUGUAUAACUAACAGGCUUCCCAGUUUCUUGUUUGCCAAUGGCAUCUUCUGGCGCGCAAAACUAUGAUACAAAAUGUGAUUAUGGGGCUAUUAUUUUGACUUGUGUUCAUUCCCUUGAUUUUUCUUUUUAAGAACUUCUGAGUGAUUUUUUUUUUGGUUGAUAUUUUGAUGAGCAUUUAAUCAUUUAACGACUAAUCUAACAAACUACCUUUUGAGCAAUACAUCUCUUUAAUGAGAUGUAUUCUUUCAUGGCAAUUAUAUAUACUUUUUCAAAAAAUCUAAUGAAUAAACAUCCUAUAGAAAGCUGUUCAAAA